rnacentral:rRNA from 1 species
UACGGGGGAUCCAAGCGUUAUCCGGAAUUACUGGGCGUAAAGAGUUGCGUAGGUGGCAUUGUAAGUUGAUAGUGAAAGCGUCCGGCUCAACCGGAUAAACAUUAUCAAAACUACAAAGCUAGAGGACGAGAGAGGUAAUUGGAAUUCCUAGUGUAGGAGUGAAAUCCGUAGAUAUUAGGAGGAACACCGAUGGCGUAGGCAGAUUACUGGCUCGUUCCUGACACUAAGGCACGAAAGCGUGGGUAGCAAACGGG